CACCUUUCGGGUGUGGAUGAGUGGCGAACGGGUGAGUAACACGUGGGUAAUCUGCCCUGCACUCUGGGAUAAGCCUUGGAAACGAGGUCUAAUACCGGAUAUCACUUCUUUUCGCAUGGAGAGAAGUUGAAAGUUCUGGCGGUGCAGGAUGGACCCGCGGCCUAUCAGCUUGUUGGUGGGGCAGUGGCCUACCAAGGCGACGACGGGUAGCCGGCCUGAGAGGGUGACCGGCCACACUGGGACUGAGACACGGCCCAGACUCCUACGGGAGGCAGCAGUGGGGAAUAUUGCACAAUGGGCGAAAGCCUGAUGCAGCGACGCCGCGUGAGGGAUGACGGCCUUCGGGUUGUAAACCUCUUUCGCCAGGGACGAAGCGCAAGUGACGGUACCUGGAUAAGAAGCACCGGCUAACUACGUGCCAGCAGCCGCGGUAAUACGUAGGGUGCGAGCGUUGUCCGGAUUUAUUGGGCGUAAAGAGCUCGUAGGCGGUUUGUCGCGUCGGCCGUGAAAUCUCCACGCUUAACGUGGAGCGUGCGGUCGAUACGGGCAGACUUGAGUUCGGUAGGGGAGACUGGAAUUCCUGGUGUAGCGGUGA
rnacentral:rRNA from 1 species